ACUGGCUCAUGGCAAUAAUAAAAAUAGGAUUGUUGUAGUUGAUUUUAUUAUUUUUAUAUUCUCAACAGACAGUACACUCCAUUACUGCUUGCAUCCAGAUCAUAUUGCUUUCCACCACCCAACCCUCCAUACACCACUACUGUUCAGUAGUCAUUUAUUGAUGAAAGAAGGCAUCCUGAAGGUACAUUAAAAUAUGACUCCCCAUGGAUUAGGGAUUCUCAACUAUUGUAUUUGAGAAGUUACCCUUUUAUUUUCUAAAUUCGCCCAACAAAGUCCUUUGGUCAAGGAUUCUUCGUGCCUCUGAAAUACCUUGCGUAUCAUGAAUAGACAAAGCCCCUUCUCUUGUGGAGUCUGCAUGCCUUGUAUAGGGGAGAGGCAAAGUUUUUAGAUCACCAGACUAGUAAUGGAGCAGGGAGUAAAGGGGGAUGAAGAAAUUUAUGGAAACUCUUGAGAAGGAACCAUGCUGGUGGUUUAUACCAUCUCCACCCCUUUCCACCAAAACAAAGUUUACACACAUGCACACAUGCACACACACACAACACAACUCUUUCCCUUCAACUCUCUCCCUCUCUUACUUCUGCUGUUACUAGGUACAUUGCCUAAUCUCCUAGAACACUCUUCUUCCAGAUAUCUAAAUGGAUCACUUCUUCAAAUUUUUGCUGAAACAUCACCUCAAUGAGGUCAACUCAUCAAAGUUAAAGCUCCCCUCCCCGCCCCACAUACACAAUUCCUACUCUCUUCCCUGCUGAAUUUAUCUCCAUAGCAUGCAUCAUCAUCUAAUAAACUAUUUUUCUCCCCUGACUGCAAUGUAAGCUGCACGAAGGCAGGAAUUUUUGUCUAUUUUGUUUACUGCCAAAUAUCUGUUGAAUGAAUAAAUAGAUAGGAAAAGAAAAGGAAAAAAUAAAAGAAGAAAAGAGAAGAAAAAAAACACUUCAGAAGAUAUUCCAGAUUCAAGAAGAUACAGCCAAAUAGUGGUCAAUACACCAGUUUUCUUCCUGCUCUCAUUUUUGCUUCCUCUGAUGGGCUAGGUAAGGAAGAUAAGAAUAAAUAAGACAUUUGUAAGAGCACUUAAAAAUUCCAAAGAGCUAUUUUUUUUUUUUUUUGAAAUGGAGUCUCAUUUUGUCGCCCAGGAGAGCAGUGGCGCGAUCUCGGCUCACUGCAGCCUCUGCAUCCCAGGUUCAAGCCAUUCUCCUGCCUCAGCCUCCCGAGUAGUUGGGACUACAGGCGCCCGCC
rnacentral:lncRNA from 1 species